GUGAAAUUCCGUCGGAAUCUGGGAGGACCAUCUCCUAAGGCUAAAUACUCUCUAGUGACCGAUAGUGAACCAGUACCGUGAGGGAAAGGUGAAAAGCACCCCGGAAGGGGAGUGAAAUAGAACCUGAAACCGUGUGCUUACAAGUAGUCAGAGCCCGUUAAUGGGUGAUGGCGUGCCUUUUGUAGAAUGAACCGGCGAGUUACGAUUUGAUGCAAGGUUAAGCAGUAAAUGUGGAGCCGUAGCGAAAGCGAGUCUGAAUAGGGCGUUUAGUAUUUGGUCGUAGACCCGAAACCAGGUGAUCUACCCUUGGUCAGGUUGAAGUUCAGGUAACACUGAAUGGAGGACCGAACCGACUUACGUUGAAAAGUGAGCGGAUGAACUGAGGGUAGCGGAGAAAUUCCAAUCGAACCUGGAGAUAGCUGGUUCUCUCCGAAAUAGCUUUAGGGCUAGCCUCAAGUGAUGAUUAUUGGAGGUAGAGCACUGUUUGGACGAGGGGCCCCUCUCGGGUUACCGAAUUCAGACAAACUCCGAAUGCCAAUUAAUUUAACUUGGGAGUCAGAACAUGGGUGAUAAGGUCCGUGUUCGAAAGGGAAACAGCCCAGACCACCAGCUAAGGUCCCAAAAUAUAUGUUAAGUGGAAAAGGAUGUGGCGUUGCCCAGACAACUAGGAUGUUGGCUUAGAAGCAGCCAUCAUUUAAAGAGUGCGUAAUAGCUCACUAGUCGAGUGACACUGCGCCGAAAAUGUACCGGGGCUAAACAUAUUACCGAAGCUGUGGAUUGUCCUUUGGACAAUGGUAGGAGAGCGUUCUAAGGGCGUUGAAGCAUGAUCGCAAGGACAUGUGGAGCGCUUAGAAGUGAGAAUGCCGGUGUGAGUAGCGAAAGACGGGUGAGAAUCCCGUCCACCGAUUGACUAAGGUUUCCAGAGGAAGGCUCGUCCGCUCUGGGUUAGUCGGGUCCUAAGCU
rnacentral:rRNA from 1 species